AUAAAAAUUGAUUGGUAUUUGAUUAGUAAAAUAAAUGACCACAACACAAAAGAAUAUUUAAAACAAACCAACACUAAGAAAAUAACUCAUCUUUUGGGGGGAUCUAAUUAAGUUAAUUAAAAUAAAUUAUAGUUAGAGUUAAAUAAAAUUAGUCAAGCAUAAGCAAAUCAAUUAAAAGAGUAAAGGAUACCAAGAAAUUAGACCCCUUUUUGGGCCAAUUUCGCUGCAAAUUUUGAGCUAAUCCAAUUCCCAUUUUUGCGUAUACACUGAACAUAUAUCAGUGUAUAUGAGCGUAUGUAUCAGCUCUUUUCAUGUAUCUCUUGCUUCCGAACACCUGUAUUUCGCCUCACCCCUGUAUUUUCAUAUUUUUUGACCUGUAUAUCGCUGCAUAAUGAGUGUAUACAGUUGUAUACAACUUGUAUACAACCCCUUUUUAGGCUUGUGGGACUUUGAGAAUUCAAUAUCCCGCCUUGUGAGUCAACUUUUAAUUCUUGGAAUGAUGAGGUCGACUCGAUAAUAUUAGGCCUUUGGCCCAACGAGAUGAUGCAAAGCAUAGAUGGAGCCGAUUGGAUUCGUUGAAGGAGUUCAUGCAAUAAAAGAAACAAAAGGAAUUAAUUAAAAAAAAACACACAAAGGGUAAUCGAUGAAUUUCUCAAAGUAAAAUAAAAUAAAAUUUCAUAACUAUAUUGGGCUACUGGUGAACAUUCAGAUUAAUAGAACAAUGGGAGACACACAAAACAGAACAUUACUAUAUACCCAAAUAAUUGGAGGAAACAAGAUUUAGCAUUUGAUUAAAAUUAACUCACAUUUUUGUAACAAUAAUUAACCAGCAACCCUUUUUCUUAAAAAUUCCAAACCAAAGUCAUGAAAAUCCUAACAACCAAUGACUUGAAACAUACAUUUUUUCUCACUUUGAAGAACAGAAAAAAAAACAUAUGGUCUUAAAGACAUGAAAUCUAAACGAAGCAGGGUGAUGCGUUAUCAUAAGAGAACAGGUUCUCAAUCAAAUUAACAACGUGCAAAACGAAGACCUUCAACAACUGAAAAUAAUCAUCACUCAAGUUACGACAAAAAGGAUUUGAAAAUAUUUGAAAGGUCUUAUCCCAUUAAAUAUUCACUGGGAACUUUAAAUAAAAAAAACUAAACCAAGAUUGUCAAAUUUUACUUUGACUAUACCGAAUUGCAUCUAGUUAAAUAUAACAGAGCAAAGAAAGUACACCAUACAAAUAAAUCUCUACCAUGAAUAAUUAACAAUUCAAGGUUAAGGGAGGCAAACAUACUAGUGCUAAAAGGAGAAAGAAAGCUGAGAAUUCUUCCAAAUUUUAAACAAAAUGAAACCAUAGCUAAUUUUGAAUGAGACAAAUUCCAUCAUUAAUCUUUUAAACAGAUAGCCGACUGAAGAAAUCAUAUGCCUAACCAAGAAUGAAUUCAAGCUAAAAUAUUAACAAGGUAGGAUCAAAAGUAGUAGAGCAACCAACUAAUAGUUUAAAUUAAAGUCAAUAUCCGUUUGAUAUAAGUUUAAAAAAAUAAUAAUGGCACAGAUGGGUCAUCAACUAAAGAUUAAAACAUUAAACGUAACUAAGUUGAUUUACUAAAUCUAGGCUUAAAAUCGGUUAUUAUUUUUAUUUUAUUUUUUAUCCAUAGCAAAACAGUGUACAAACUAGAAGGGGAUAAGAGUCCCGAUAGCAUUUAAUCACCAAACACUUGAGAAAUCUAACAAGCACAAGCUAUAAAAUGAUCUCAACUAAUGAACAUAAGGCUUCGAAUUUUCGCAAGAGAGAACAAAAUGCCGAUUCGGGUUGCUAUAUAAAAUCGAGAUAAUGACCUCCGAAUCGAGAGUAUAGGAAGCAUUCAAAUUGAUCAAUACGUAAAGCAACGACACUAAACCGAUCACAUCAGUUUAUUUAUUUAGAGAGAUGAUGAUAUUCAAACUCAUAAUUAGACCAUACUAAGGGACACAACUAUCACAAAGGAAACAAAAAUCUUACAGAGAAUGACUAUUGAGGAAGAACCCAUCAUGGAAUAUACAUCAUUAUAAAAGAAAAGGAUAUUACCUUCUUCGGAGCAGCGAGACUAGGACAAACGAGCUGAGGAGGACAGCGAUUCUUCCACCGAAACAUGACUCCGAAAAUCUCGAAUGAACGAGACAAAAAACGAGCGGGACUGAUCCGAACAACUAAAAAAAAAUUGGUUUAGAUAUUUUUCUUCCUCUCAACCCUUAGCUAACUCUUAAUAUUUUUCUCCCUCCCCCAACAAAUAAGCAGAAAGGGGUUUAUAUAGACGGGGAGUUGGGGAUGAAAAUUGGACGAGGGUGAGGGUAGAAACGGGAAUUCUCGUCUAAUCUUCCAUUCAAAUUUUUUCCCAAGACCAAGGAACUGCUGCUUGCACAAGAUUUCAAACGAAACCCUCCAAAAUCCGAACGAAAAGAUCGAGGUGGGCGGCUGUUGCAGAGAAAGGCUGUGAGGGAGAAGAAAACGUGUACUGCUGCUGUCUGGUUUACACGGAGAAGAAGGGAAAAAUGCAGGGGUGGGGUCGUUCGGCUACUGUUUGUUGUAUUAGUACUACUGUAUGUAUUGUAUUGUUUAGUGGGUUUCUUGGAAUUAUAUGGGUCUUCUUUUGGUGGGCUGAUUUUCUUGUUGGUCUGAACGUGAGGGAAGGCAAGUAAUACUGAAUUGGAUUUUGGGAAUUGUAUUGAAGGAAUUGAAAUGGGCC
rnacentral:lncRNA from 1 species